UACGUAGGGCGCAAGCGUUGUCCGGAAUUAUUGGGCUUAAAGAGCUCGUAGGCGGCCUGUUACGUCUGCUGUGAAAUCCCGGGGCUUAACCCCGGGCGUGCAGUGGAUACGGGCAGGCUGGAGGCAGGCAGGGGAGAACGGAAUUCCCGGUGUAGCGGUGAAAUGCGCAGAUAUCGGGAGGAACACCGGUGGCGAAGGCGGUUCUCUGGGCCUGUACUGACGCUGAGGAGCGAAAGCGUGGGGAGCGAACAGG
rnacentral:rRNA from 1 species